rnacentral:rRNA from 1 species
CCUUUUGUAUAAUGGGUCAGCGACUUAUAUUCUGUAGCAAGGUUAACCGAAUAGGGGAGCCGAAGGGAAACCGAGUCUUAACUGGGCGUUAAGUUGCAGGGUAUAGACCCGAAACCCGGUGAUCUAGCCAUGGGCAGGUUGAAGGUUGGGUAACACUAACUGGAGGACCGAACCGACUAAUGUUGAAAAAUUAGCGGAUGACUUGUGGCUGGGGGUGAAAGGCCAAUCAAACCGGGAGAUAGCUGGUUCUCCCCGAAAGCUAUUUAGGUAGCGCCUCGUGAAUUCAUCUCCGGGGGUAGAGCACUGUUUCGGCAAGGGGGUCAUCCCGACUUACCAACCCGAUGCAAACUGCGAAUACCGGAGAAUGUUAUCACGGGAGACACACGGCGGGUGCUAACGUCCGUCGUGAAGAGGGAAACAACCCAGACCGCCAGCUAAGGUCCCAAAGUCAUGGUUAAGUGGGAAACGAUGUGGGAAGGCCCAGACAGCCAGGAUGUUGGCUUAGAAGCAGCCAUCAUUUAAAGAAAGCGUAAUAGCUCACUGGUCGAGUCGGCCUGCGCGGAAGAUGUAACGGGGCUAAACCAUGCACCGAAGCUGCGGCAGCGACGCUGAUGCGUUGUUGGGUAGGGGAGCGUUCUGUAAGCCUGCGAAGGUGUGCUGUGAGGCAUGCUGGAGGUAUCAGAAGUGCGAAUGCUGACAUAAGUAACGAUAAAGCGGGUGAAAAGCCCGCUCGCCGGAAGACCAAGGGUUCCUGUCCAACGUUAAUCGGGGCAGGGUGAGUCGACCCCUAAGGCGAGGCCGAAAGGCGUAGUCGAUGGGAAACAGGUUAAUAUUCCUGUACUUGGUGUUACUGCGAAGGGGGGACGGAGAAGGCUAUGUUGGCCGGGCGACGGUUG